rnacentral:rRNA from 2 species
AUUUGGAGAGGAUGCUUUUGGCGCGGCGCCGUCCGAGUUCCUUGGAACAGGACGCCACAGAGGGUGAGAGCCCCGUACGGACGGACGCCUAGCCUUUACAAAGCUCCUUCGACGAGUCGAGUAGUUUGGGAAUGCUGCUCAAAAUGGGAGGUAAAUUUCUUCUAAAGCUAAAUACCGGCCAGAGACCGAUAGCGCACAAGUAGAGUGAUCGAAAGAUGAAAAGCACUUUGAAAAGAGGGUUAAAAAGUACGUGAAAUUGUUGAAAGGGAAGCGCCUGUGACCAGACUUGCGCCCCGCGGACCACCCGGCGUUCUCGCCGGUGCACUCCGCGGGGCGCAGGCCAGCAUCGGUUCUCCGAGGGGGACAAAGGCUGCGGGAACGUAACUCCUUCGGGAGUGUUAUAGCCCGCGGCGGCAUGCCCCUUGGGGGACCGAGG